UCUAAGAAAGUUAAAGUAUUUUAUAAAGCUGCUAUAGGACAAUUAAUAUUAUGUCAAACUAUAGAAAGAGCAACCACUAUUCUAAAAGCAAUUUUAAUAGUGGCUUCUUGCGAAACAGAUGGAUUACUCAUUAAUACAAAUGAAGACAGUAGUUGUGAAACGCAAAAACAAUUUUUAAAAAAUAUAGUUCAGCCACAUGGUUUAGAAGAGGCACUUUUCGACGAAGAAGUAACAGAAAAAUGGGAAUCAAUGAGGCCAACUAAUGAAUCUAUUUUUGACGACACAAACGAAGAAAGUGAAAACUUAACAGAUAAACCAAUAAAUUGUUGGUCAGAUUGGUUUGAAAAUGUUGAAAAAGAAGUCGAAAUGGUGAAAACAAAAGAAAUAGGAAUACAUGACAAUCCAUUUAAUUUGCCAGAAUUUUGCGCACGUUUAAAGAAAGACAUUAAAAGCUUCCCGUUAUGGUCUUGUAUUUGGGUACAAAAAUUUGGAUUAGGUAAAAUUCCGGCUUCCAGUUCUGCAGUAGAAAGCGAAGUAAAAAAUAUAAAAAAAGAUUUAUUUGAAAAAAAAAUUGAGAGCAGAUGCAGCAGUUAAUGCAAUUUUAGAGUACCUGGUUGGUCGCUCUAAUAUAAUUCAAGCGAAAACUGAUGCAAUGGAAAACAAAGAAGAUAACGUUGAAAUUACUACAGGAUCUGGAAAUGAAUCGGAGAAAGAUCUUGAUGCAGAAAGAAAUUUAAUAAUUGCUACUGAACCAAAGUCAAUCUCAAUUAAGGAAGAUAAAGAAUUCGUAAAAGAUACAAUUCAAGAAGAGAACGUAAGAAUAAUUAAUACCAAAGAAAUAAUAUGCCAAUUGUGUUCAUCCAGUUGUGCACAACAAAAAAAAAGGGAGUAGUGAAAUGUUGUGCAACAACUGCAAUGCUGUAAACAACGUACAACAAAUAAUCGACUUAGGAAAAGAAGACAAUUGGCGUGGUCAAGUCACUAAGGCAUCAAAAAAUACAACUAAAUAUCGAGAACAAAAUCUGCAAAGUUAUCAAAAUACUUGGAUCAAAACCAAACUACUUUUGAUUCACUGUUUCAAGAUAAUUUGCAGAAAGUGCCUAUUCUGAAGAAUGGAAAUGCUUUAAAUUUAAAGGUAAAAUUAAUCAGUUUAUAUUAAAUAUUACUUUGUGUUGCAAAAUAGUUAAUAGUGAAUAAUUACUUAAUUUAAAUGAACUCAGUUCAAUCAAAUUAUGAAUUUAUUACGAUAAACAAAAUAAUUAAAAUAUUUAAAAUUUUAUACCGGUUUCUUUUAUUCUAGGGUGUGAAAAUCAAAAACAAUUGUAUUCAUUUUAUAACACGUGUGCAAUAGAUUCAAUUGUACAAUCGUUUAUUGUUGGAGCAAUAGACCCUUCUGAAGUCGAAAAUGCAUUAAAAACAUUACAAAAGGAUUGUCCAUUUAUUGCACUUGCACUAUAUAUAAAAAAGAUGGGAGUUGCACAAUCUUAUGUAAAACGAGGCAGAAUUUUACUGGAGUUUCAUGAAAGUGCUAUACAGAAGACACUAAACAAAACAAAUAAUGAACUUCAAAAAGUAAUACACGUAGACUGCAACACAAAUGCUUUUGACAUUAUGUUAAAAUUAAUGGAAAAAUUACCAAUUAACAGAAUAGUCAUAAACUGUAAUAAUGGUUGCCCUCAAAGAACCCGAGAAACGAAUUAUUAUUUUUUGGAUAACUUACUCUUUAAGGAAGCUUUAAGCGAAGUGGAAAUGCAAGAAGCAUUAACAGCUGACAGAGAUUGUAGCAGAAGAGGAUGCUGAGGACAAUCAGAAGUGCAAUAUGAUUCAAGUGGUCCAAUUAUCUUAAUUCAAUUAACGGACAUCAGAACCUUAACUCAUCUGGAUAACAUCCCGAUAAAAUUUCCCGAUGUACUUGGGACCUCUGAUUAUUAUUUACUGGUAGGAGUAAUCCGUUACAUUAACAAUGACCUUACGUCGACUAAUGGAUUAGGAAAACUGUCCAUGGGACACUACACUGUCGCAGA